UUACGUCAUUUACGGAACCGAUUUUUGUGAUAAAAUCUUGUGACUCGUUUUUUUCACUUUUUUUUAGGCAGUGUGGGGUAGACGUAGUUUUGUGGAGUUUCUUUUUAGAAACAUAUAUACACAUAGAUACUUUUUGGAAAGAAGAGAAGCUGAUCUUUAUUUUUUUUAAACUUUUAUGUAUGGUUACUAAACUUUUUAACGGAUUAUUUUGCUCCUGAAUAUUUGGUUGAUGUUUUCACAUAAAUUUGUAGUCGAAGGCAUGAAGUUUCCGCUUUUUUGAUUGUUCAUCCACCUUAAUACAUGUAUUUUCUAUUUAUGUGCCAAAUUUCAACGAAAAAUAUUAGGGAGCAGAUAUGUAACGAGGUGCUUUUUUAAAUAUACUGCUUUUUUGAAGUAGGGUUAGACAAACGUUUUUAGUGGUGUUUUUUUUUAGAAACAUAUAUAAACAAAAAGUAUAUUUGGAAAGAAGAAAGGUUAGGCUUGAUUUUUAUAGUACUUUUAUUUAUAACCACUAAACUUUUUUAUGGUUAGUUUUGCUAAAAACUUUCAUGAAAAUUUCGUUGAUGUUCUCACAUUAAGUUCUUAUCGAUGGAAUGAAGUUUCCGCUUUUUUUGUUAUUCAGGAACUUUUUUGCAUGCAUUUUCUUUGUACAUGCCAAAUUUCAGCCAAAAAUAUUAGGGAGCAGAUAGUAUGAGAAGUGUAGGACUUUUGGUACCUAAAUUCGGUUUUUUUUGUUUUUGUUUUUGUUUUAUCGGUAAGAGAAAUACGGGGAGGAAAGGGGGGUGGGAAAUAGUAAACAAAAAAAUUCUUACUACAUUGUAUUAUUUAAUUUUUAAUAUUAGAUUAUUUUAAUAAAUAAAAAAUGGUAAAAGUCAUAACAAAGAAGACUUCAAAAAGCCAAUUUGCACAGACUACAGCUGUAUCUACCUCUUGUGCUACACCUGGAAAGUUAAACAACUAUUAGUUUUUAAGGUUGGUCGGUUAAAUAUGAUCAUUUAAAUGAGAAAAUGUAUACUCGUGCUACUGAAUACAUGUAAACUAGAGAAAAUGAAUAAUCGUGCAAAUGUAUACUCGUGCAAUCUUGUAAAACAAUUCUGUAUUGUGCUUUUUUCUUUUAAUAAUUGCAUGUGAAAAUGUUGAAAAUAUCAUUUCUAUGUGUUUUCUUUUUUACGUUGGUUGAGGGGAAGGGGGAAAACCAUCCCUCUCCUCAAAUUGUACAUCACUAAUGUAUGUUCUA